UGUAUACAAAAGUAUCGGAGACGUUAGAUCAAUCAAACUAAAUUACAUCCAACAAUCCAUAUUACAUUCAAGGUUCGCCACACAAACUAACACUCCAGAUUAAAUGUUCUGCACAUCCUGCCCCUCGGCACAUCACGCCGCUAAACGCAUCUGAACCCACAAAUUAUCCACUGCCCGCCCCCGCCUUCCUCCCCUUUCCCCCCGGACGCCUCCCAGCCUCCGCCGCCGCCCCGCGCGACGGACGCCAUCUCUACCCUAUUUCCCUCUUCACCUCCGCGCCAUGCCGCGUCGCCGCCCGAGCCCCGCUGCGGUCGCUAUGAUCCGCCGCGCCGCCCCGUAGCCCCACACCCGAAGCUGCAGUCGAGAUGCAUCUGAGCGAGAAUGAGGGGAUCGAGGGCGUGCGGCUCGCGGUGACUGGCGGGCAGGGCUUCGUCGGCGCCGCGCUAUGCCUGGAGCUGAUCCGCCGCGGCGCCCUGGAGGUCUGCUCCCUCGACGGCUCGACCUGUGCGAUUCCUCCUCUUGGUCCCAGCAGCUCCUCGACACCGGCGUCCGCUUCUUCCAAGGUUCUCUCCCUCACUCUCUUUUGCUUAAAUUACUGUGGUUUUUUUCUUCUGUCGCCAUGAGUGGGCGUGAGACCUAAAUGCAGCGUCGCAGCGAAGAAGGUAAUUUGUUUUUCUGUCCAAUGCAUUGAAGCUAUAAUGUACGUGCUUAGUAAAUUGUUUAGGGCGUUGUGAGACUUAUAAUGCCUGCCAACUUAGUGAAUUGAUAAACCAGGAAGUUUGUGUUUUUUACUUCACUUGAAUUUGCACAAUUCAGUUAUGUGUUCAUUGAAUGGAUUUGACAUGACAUUUCCUGCAGGCAAUGAGGGAAGUAGAUGGGCAUGGCUGAUCUGUUCGGCAUGCAGUUAUGUGCUAUCUUAUUCCUUGAUACUGAGUGUGAGUCCAUGCAUGUGCAAGCUAUAUGUACUCUUAAGCUAUUAGUGUCUCUUAACUUAUUUCCUACUAUUCCCGUAUGGUACCACUUUUUCCCUAGCAAGGAUAUGUGAGCCUAUUAACCUUAUGUUGUCUGUCAAUGUCAGAUUUAGAACCCAGCAAAGAAAAAUGGCAGAAGUUUGCAUAUUAACCUUUCUUGUGCAGGUUCGAGAUAUUAAUGUCAUACAGAUGCUUCUUUGCCAUGAGUGUGUAAACUUGAUGAGGCAACAUGGUCUUCAAGCACAAGAAAUACCCAUGGACGUGAGUGCGGGCUGCCGCUCCGGUCUCCACUCCUCUGCUUGACCACCGCCGCCACCACGUUGAGGCCCUCGCCACCAAGCGGCAUGCUUUCCCGUGAGCGGGCUUCUUCAACACAUGUUUAUCUGAAUUUCUACAAGCUAAAUUAGUACAGGCUUCUCUGAACGUUGGCCUGUAUUGGAUUCUUGUAUGUUAUGAUUUGCCCAAUCUGCUCUUCCUACACCCAUGGAUAGGGCAAGAAAAAUAAUUAGAAAGCAUGAAAGAUGCUGUAUCAAUUGUUUUAGCUCUUCCUACACCCAACCGCCACAUUCUAAAUUCUGAAGGUUCCAGCUAGAAUUCCCGUUCAGUUCAUACAUUCCAAUUUAGCGUUUUAGUUCAAAAUUAGAAGUUGGAUUCUGUGUAUAGUUAUUCUCAUGUCCAUCAUAUGAACUAUGCGUGUGUACUCAUGUUGAAUUAAUGUGUGAUACUGAGUCUUUGCAUUUUCAAUCGCCUUGCUUUUUCUUCAUGAUUUGGUGCAUGUGCAUUUUCACAUAAUUUGUAACAAACCAAUUCAUAUUUUUGUCGAGCUUGAAUCAUUUUGUUCUUUCAUAAUGGUUGGAGAUGUGGUUUAGGAGGAUCAGCAGCUAAUGGCAAACGCGUUAGCGAGCUCCGAGUGUGGUGGCCCGUGCAACAUGAAGAAGACCAUCCGGACAAAGGGCAGGUACACAAAUAGCCAAGAAUACAAGGAGACGUGCAGGUCUGCAUUUAUGAGUUUUAUCUCUUUUAGCACUAGCGAUUAAAUGGUCUGUAGCUGGUCAGGCGUGCUUGCCUAAAAUGUACUUUAGUAGUUGCUAGAUCCAUGCUAGCUUCUAUGUUGCUCUUGCAGCCUCAACUAGCUAAUUUUAUUUAAAGCAAAUGUUGUUCUAUCCUUCCAAUUACUGUUAUUCAGAUCUUCUUUUCUUUUUUCUGUUGUCAUUCACAGUACAAAUGUUAUGAGAAUUUCAGGAAUUUUGUCAUAUAUUUCUCCUAGUUACCUUAAUUUUGUAAAUUGUGGUCUAAUUCAAUUUUGAGUUUGUUUUCAGAAAAGCCUACUUUAAAGCUGUGUAAAUCCAUUAUUUCCUUUGAGUUUGCCGUGGAGGUGAGUUGGGAACCUUUUUUAUACUUGGUGGAUGCAUUGAUGUAGUGACAGAGACUUGCCUGAAUGUUGUUUUCUUCCGCGUGAAGUGCUUACAAUUCUCAAAGGCGUCAACAAGUCCCGGAGGAGACUGACAAGGAAUUCUUGUUGUAAAGAGCGAAGGCAUGGUUUGGUUUGCAUGACAUUAUCUUCAAUUGGCUGGAGAUAUAUAAAUGUUGAUACUUGAUUUUCUCACCUGGCAUCUUAUCACUUCUGUGAAAGACACUUCAUUUUCUCAUAGUAAUAGUUCUUUAUUAUUGUUGAUACAUAAAUGGAUCUUUAUUGAUUGGUACUUGUAUGUGUGUAUGGAGAAUGGUGAUUAACCUUUUAAAUAAUCUAUUAUCCAACUAGGUGAUUCUAA